ensembl:lncRNA
GAUUUAACAGAGUAUAUUUAUGAGAAUAACAGUACUGACAUGCAAAACAUGUUCUAUUCUUUCUGAGGAAAUAUAGAACAUUAUUUCAGUAGGUACAUCAUGAAAUAUACAAGCAGCAUUACUGAUAGCCUAGCAAACUGAGCCACCAGGGAAGCCCUCUAGCAAAAUUAUUAAAAUGGAAAAUAACUCUGGCUUUAGUCAUUUUUCUUAGAAAAUAGAUGCUUCACUUUUUUUUUUAAUGAGAUAUCUUGACAAGGGGGGAAAAGCCCAUUUUACUGCCAAAAUGAAUCGUGUCACUCAGUCACAUAACACCUUUCCUGCUGCUGCUGCUGCUGCUGCUGCUAAGUCGCUUCAGUCGUGUCCGACUCUGUGCGACCCCAUACACGGCCUCCCACCAGGCUCCCCCGUCCCUGGGAUUCUCCAGGCGAGAACACUGGAGUGGGUUGCCAUUUCCUUCUCCAAUGCAUGAAAGUGAAAAGUGAAAAUGAAGUCGCUCAGUCGUGUCCGACUCUUAGCGACGUCAUGGACUGCAGCCCACCAGGCUCCUCCAUCCAUGGGAUUGUCCAGGCAAGAGUACUGGGGUGGGGUGCCACCGCCUUCUCCGACACCUCUCCUACGUACACACAAACACAAUCUUCAGACACCUUUCUUUGAUUUCAAAAUGGAGGGGGGCGGGGCAGGCAGUUCUUCAGUUGUCUUUAGAGCUUCAAUUAAGGCAUCACGAUAUAGUGCAGUAAUUCUCGAAAAUUCAGCAGACGUUAGGACUAAUGGAAGAUUUGUUCCAAUGUAGAGAGCUGAACUUCAUCCCUAGAAUUUCUGCUGCUGUAAGUCUGAGUGGGGCUUGACUUUGAACAGUCUGCAGGCAAUACUAAUACUGCGGGUCAAACGCCCCGCCCCCGCCCCAAGCUUCACGGGCUUUGUUGAUAUCAGGUGCACCUGGCGUUGUUGAAAAAGAGCAGGCGCAAGACUCUGUUGCCCAUUUAAGAUGAUUAACACCCUGCGAACCUCACGCGAGACCUGAGUUCCUAGGUUGAAACCCCAAGCUCUUUCCCACUUGCUUGUGAGCAGACUAUCCAUCUCGGGAGUUACUGGAUGAAGGAUGUGCAGGUAGCCCUUUUAUUCAUCUUUGCCUUGAAAGUCUGUUCUCCAAUAAGAAAAUGUGUUUACCCUGCCUUCCAGUCUGGAGUAUUGAAAGAUCCUGGUCUUUGAAGCCUUCCUCCAGCACUUACCUGCUGUGUUAACUUGAAGCAAUUCCUUAACUUCUCUGAACUUCAGUUCUCAUUACGGAUGUAACAGUUUCUGCCUCACACGAAAAAAACAAGCAGUUAUGUGUACAAGGCACUGUGAUGUCUCAGAUGAUUUGUAAGAACUGGCUGAAGAAGCUGGUGUCCAAGGCUGUGGACACAGGAAGGAGUAAGAGCCAAGUAUUGCUGGCAGCCUCAAGAAGCUAGAAAAGGCAAGACCAUGGAUUCCCCCCAGAGUUUCCAGAAAGGAAAACAGCCCUGCUGACUCUUUGAUUUUAGCCCUGUGAGAACUGUGUCAGCUUUCCAACCUUCAUAAUUGUAAUAUAAUAAAUGUAUGCUGUUUAAUAAAUGUAAGAUAAUAAAUGUGUGCUGUUUUAAAGCCACUGGAUUUGUUGUAUUUGUUAUACCAGCUCUAGAAAACUCAUGAACUGACAGAAAACUAAUAUAAGAUGUAAAGAUCCUAAUGAAGGGCCAGGUGCACAAAGAAUUAUCAGUAAAACAAAUACAUGUUAGUCAUACAGAGUAGACAGGGAAAAGAAAGACUGAAUACUCUAAAAUUUUCAUAUGUAGCAAUUUUGUCCAGGGUUGACCCUGUGUAUGUCAUCAACAGCCUGUUCUGAAAAUCACAAUGAGAUUCACAAAGUUGGUUUUAGAACCUAAAGGGAUUCUUUCUCUUCUUUGUUUGAACCAGGGUUGUCAUGUCUAAGUAUAUCCCCAAUAGUCAUUCUGUCUGAAAGCACUUAAAAUACUGUGUUAUUCCAAAAUAUGUGUAUGUACAUUUAUAUAUUAUAUAUAUAUAUUUAUGUACACUAAUAUAAAUGUCUGGAGCUGAUGUGGCUCAGAUGGUAAAACAU